CAAAAAAAAAAACAACUGACCAGCCAUCACCAAGUUUCCUUAAGAGGGUCAAAGUCAGAGUGGUGGUCACGGUCCUGGAGGUGGCAAGAAGGAUGACAAGG